rnacentral:rRNA from 1 species
CCUACGGGUGGCAGCAGUGGGGAAUAUUGGACAAUGGGCGAAAGCCUGAUCCAGCCAUGCCGCGUGUGUGAAGAAGGCCUUCGGGUUGUAAAGCACUUUCAGUGGGGAAGAAAGCCUUGGGGCUAAUACCCUCGAGGAAGGACAUCACCCACAGAAGAAGCACCGGCUAACUCCGUGCCAGCAGCCGCGGUAAUACGGAGGGUGCGAGCGUUAAUCGGAAUUACUGGGCGUAAAGCGCGCGUAGGCGGUCUGAUAAGCCGGUUGUGAAAGCCCCGGGCUCAACCUGGGAACGGCAUCCGGAACUGUCAGGCUAGAGUGCAGGAGAGGAAGGUAGAAUUCCCGGUGUAGCGGUGAAAUGCGUAGAGAUCGGGAGGGAUACCAGUGGCGAAGGCGGCCUUCUGGACUGACACUGACGCUGAGGUGCGAAAGCGUGGGUAGCAAACAGGAUUAGAUACCCUUGUAGUC